rnacentral:rRNA from 1 species
UACGAAGGGUGCAAGCGUUACUCGGAAUUACUGGGCGUAAAGCGUGCGUAGGUGGUUUGUUAAGUCUGAUGUGAAAGCCCUGGGCUCAACCUGGGAACGGCAUUGGAAACUGGCUUACUAGAGUGCGGUAGAGGGGUGUGGAAUUCCCGGUGUAGCAGUGAAAUGCGUAGAUAUCGGGAGGAACAUCUGUGGCGAAGGCGACACCCUGGACCAGCACUGACACUGAGGCACGAAAGCGUGGGGAGCAAACAGG